rnacentral:lncRNA from 1 species
GGAAGAAGCCCUUUCCACAUCAACUCACUUUAGUGGAGACCCAAAGCUUCGAUUCCAACACCAGGAACCCCAGGGGAAGGAAGACAAAAGGCAGUGUGAGACACCAGAUCUCUGGAGGAGAAUGCUGAACUGGUGUUGAGAAGAGGAAUAGCAUUUUGAGAAAUACCUUCAACAUUCUACACCUUGUAACUCCCUCGGGUCUGUUCCUGGAUUUCUGCUUUUCAAAAAUGAUCAAGCAGGGCCAGGUAUGGUGGCUCACGCCUGUAAUUCCAGCACUUUGAGAAACUGAGGCAGGUGGAUCACUUGAGGUCAUGAGUUCGAGACCAGUCUGGCCAACAUGAUGAAACCCCAUCUCUACUAAAAAUACAAUAGAAAUUAGCUAGGCGUGGUGACAGGUGGCUGCAAUCCCAGCUACUUGGGAGGCUGAGACAUGAGAAUCACUUGAUCCUGG